GCCCUUUUCAUAGCGCUGUAACAUGCCUAUAUCGUUCGUGCCGGGCUUGCCCGGCUAUGGUGAUAAAGUGCGGCGUAGAAUAGAUGCAGCGGACCCGGGGGCAGUACCCGGCGACUCCACCACACCCCCUCUCUCCAGAGGGGUUAUGACGGGGUCGAACUAGGAUCGACGUGUAUUGAAAGGCGCUGUUUUUGCCCAGGCUGAGUAACCUGUUCAAGGCUCAUAACCACAAGUGCAAACGAUAACCAUGCACUCGCGAUUGCUGCGUAACACUAAGGCCUAACGGUCUAAGUUACUAAGUUAAAAGCGCGGUCCGAGCCGCACCGGGCAACAGAAGCGGACACC
rnacentral:tmRNA from 1 species